rnacentral:rRNA from 1 species
AUUGAACGCUGGCGGCAUGCUUUACACAUGCAAGUCGAACGCGGGUGAGGGGCAACUCUCACCUGAGUGGCGAACGGGUGAGUAAUACAUCGGAACGUGUCCCGUAGUGGGGGAUAACCCGGCGAAAGCCGGACUAAUACCGCAUAUGCUCUACGGAGGAAAGUGGGGGACCCGCAAGGGCCUCACGCCAUGGGAGCGGCCGAUGUCCGAUUAGCUUGUUGGCGGGGUAACGGCCCACCAAGGCGACGAUCGGUAGCUGGUCUGAGAGGAUGAUCAGCCACACUGGGACUGAGACACGGCCCAGACUCCUACGGGAGGCAGCAGUGGGGAAUUUUGGACAAUGGGGGCAACCCUGAUCCAGCCAUGCCGCGUGAGUGAAGAAGGCCUUCGGGUUGUAAAGCCCUUUUGGCCGGAAAGAAAAGGCCGCGGAUAACACCUGCGGCUCUUGACGGUACCGGCAGAAUAAGCACCGGCUAACUACGUGCCAGCCGCCGCAGUAACAC